UACGUAGGGGGCAAGCGUUGUCCGGAUUUAUUGGGCGUAAAGAGCGUGUAGGCGGCCAGGUAGGUCAGCUGUGAAAACUCGAGGCUCAACCUCGAGACGUCGGUUGAAACCACCUGGCUAGAGUCCGGAAGAGGAGAGUGGAAUUCCUGGUGCAGCGGUGAAAUGCGCAGAUAUCAGGAAGAACACCCGUGGCGAAGGCGGCUCUCUGGGACGGUACUGACGCUGAGACGCGAAAGCGUGGGGAGCGAACAGG
rnacentral:rRNA from 1 species